CUGGCCUAGCGCCUCCGGCCGAAGUUAGUGCUUGUACGUGGCUUUUUUCCUUGGGUUACUUGUCUUUUCUUUUCAUCAUUGGCUGACAUGUUUGUUGUUUUGUUUUUCCAGCAACCUCCAAUUCGACGAUUUGAGGUUGGGCGAGCACUAUACAUGAAGUGCAUAGCGUUAUCGGAUGUUUGUUUUUUGACCUGCUGGU
rnacentral:lncRNA from 1 species